CACGUAGGGCGCAAGCGUUGUCCGGAAUUAUUGGGCGUAAAGAGCUCGUAGGCGGUCUGUUGCGUCCGCUGUGAAAACCCGGGGCUUAACCCUGGGCUGGCAGUGGAUACGGACAGACUAGAGGUAGGUAGGGGAGAAUGGAAUUCCCGGUGUAGCGGUGAAAUGCGCAGAUAUCGGGAGGAACACCGGUGGCGAAGGCGGUUCUCUGGGACGGUACUGACGCUGAGACGCGAAAGCGUGGGGAGCGAACAGG
rnacentral:rRNA from 1 species